rnacentral:rRNA from 1 species
GACGAACGCUGGCGGCGUGCUUAACACAUGCAAGUCGAACGGAAAGGCCCUGCUUUUGUGGGGUGCUCGAGUGGCGAACGGGUGAGUAACACGUGAGUAACCUGCCCUUUACUUUGGGAUAACUUCAGGAAACUGGGGCUAAUACCGGAUAUGAUCUCCUGCUGCAUGGUGGGGGUUGGAAAGUUUCGGCGGUUGGGGAUGUACUCGCGGCUUAUCCGCUUGUUUGUGGGGUAGUGGCUUACCAAGGCUUUGACGGGUAGCCGGCAUGAGAGGGUGACCGGCAAAAAUGGGACUGAGAUAGGGAGCAGAAUCGAACGGGAGGAAGCAGGGGGGAAUAUUGCACAAUGGGAGGAAGCAUGAUGCAGAAAAGCAGCGUGCGGGAUGACGGCCUUCGGGUUGUAAACAGAUUUCGACUGUGACGAAGAGUGAGUGACGGUAAUGGGUAAAGAAGCAACGGCUAACUACGUG